UUCACCUGCCCUUCCUAGACUAAUUUGGAUGCCCUGAUUCCAUAGGUGAUGUCCGAUUGACGAAAUCUUAUCGUAUGACUAUAGUUUUGAUAGAGACUGCCACUUGGUCAUUAUAUGAAUUGACGAUCCGACCGUUAGAUCGUUACCAAACUUUAAUAUGUAAUAGUACGUAAUAUUUGAGGACAAUAGAAACUUAUGGAUCAAGAAUCUGACAUAUGGAUCUUUCCGAAUUGGAUUCCCAAGUUUGUAAAGAUCAAACGUUGACCGCCACUUGAAUUAGCGAUUGGCGGAGAUCCAACCGUUGGAUCGUUUUGAAAUUUUAGAAUAUUGUUCUAGAAGAUAAAUGAGACCCUUAGGAAGUUACGGUUCAGAAAUCCAUGGGUGGAUGUUUCAGAUUGACUAGUAUAGGGUUGUGGACCCCACCGUUGACAAAGACUUGACUUUUGGUCAAUAUGUUACGAAUUGAUCUUAAAUAUUAAAAUUAGUAUUACUAGAGGCUAUGUAGGGCUUAGUGGGCCUAUAUUGGUUAGUGAGUUAUCCCAUAUAGUGUAUACAUGGGUUUACGUGCAUAGGACGUCAUAUUGUGUUAUAUUUAUGUGUUUAUUUAUAUACAAAAGAUAUGCAUGUUAACUGUUAUGACAUUAUGAGCCUAAAAUCCUAUUAGAAGUGUUCUGUAGAACAUAUAGGCUUGUGUGACAUGGUAGUUAGUGAUCUGAGGAAAUGAUAGUGUAAGUGAUUAAGUUGUAAAUCAUAGCGGUUGAGAUAAGGGUAAGUGGUUUAUGUGCUGAUCUAAUUGCACCAUGUAGUAGUGGUACAUGGAUGAUCCUACUUGGUAUAUCCACGUUGGAGGACCGUACGUAUUUAGGGGUGAUCAUGCUUGGUAUAUCUGCGUUGGGUGAUCACUGCCUGCAUGAUUAUACUAUGCUUAUGGUUAUGCUUGGUAUAUCUACGUUGAGGGGCCAUAUACAUUCUAGGAGUGAUCAUGCUUGGUAUAUCCAUGUUAGGUGAUCACUAUCUAGAGCUAUAAGAUACAGUCCUGCUUGGUAUAUCCACGUUGGGGGACUGUUAGGGGUGAUCAUGCUUGGUAUAUUUGCGUUGGGUGAUCACUGCCUAUGUUAUUAGACUAUGCAUAUGGUUAUGCUUGGUAUAUCCGUGUUGGGGAACCAUACGCAUUCUAGGAGUGAUCAUGCUUGGUAUAUCCAUAUUGGGUGAUCAUUACCUAAAGUUAGGAUGUGGUCCUGCUUGGUAUACCUACGUUGGGGGACCAUACAUAUUCAAGGGUGAUCAUGCUUGGUAUAUAUGCGUUGGAUGAUCACUGCCUGCACGAUGAGAUUAUGCAUAUGGUUCUGCUUGGUAUAUCUGCGAUGGAGGACCACAAGCAUUCUAGGUGUGAUGAGGAUUAGUUAUACUUGGUACAUUUCGAUAGGUGUUCAUAUUUUGGUUGGAUUUCAUUGAGUGGUCUGGAAUCCUUAAUCUUGCUCAUUUCCAUAAGUUAGACCAGAACCUUGGAUUCGAGUGAAUGAGAAUUACCCACAAUAUACCUUGUGAAUAUAAAUUAGAAUUAUCAGGUUAUUACUUGGAAUCCAGGUAGGAAAUUAUGUAUAAUUUCUUUAUUAAAUUUUGUGCAUUGAUAUUUGAUUUGGUUGACUGAUAAACGUAAUUAGAUGUUAAUAUCGUGCCUCCUUGAUUCAUGGAAUAGGUUACUUGAGGUGAUUGUGGAAUGAUGUUGAAUAUGAUUGUUAUUAAUACGAUUAGAUCAGUGAUCAAUUUGACUAGAUGAUACUAUUGUGCUUUGUUGAUUCUUUGAUAUAUUACAUGUUAUGAAUUGCGAUUUUAUGUUGAAACUUAAUGAUUUAUAUGAUGGAUGAAAUAGAGACCUUGAUUGUCAUGUGGGUUCAUUAUGUAGCUUGAAUCGAAUAAUUCAUGCUUGUCAAGUCCAAAUGUUUGAUUGAGGAAUGUUAUGCCUUUCGGCUUGAACAGACUAUGAUAUAUGUUGAGUUGUAGCGAAUGACGAACUACGAAUGGCUUGAUCCCUGUUAGGGUACUUCGGCAGUCUAACGAGGGUAGAUGAAGCCAUAAAAUAUACAAAGAUUUCUAUGUGAUUUGAAUCUUGAGCUGCGCUUUGUACAUAUCCCAGAGGUGGGGGGGGGGUAUGUUAGAUAUAUAGAUACUUGGUGACAUCACGUGUCGAUCUUAGACGUAUGUCGAAAUCGGGGUGUGACAGGUAACAAGUUCGUCAAAAUUGUUUUUAUGGAACAAAUUAACCGAUUGUUGAGAUAUGUGUCACAUAAGUGUCAGCGACUGAUAAACUGAUAAAACCAAUCCUUUAGCAAUAGUGAGACUUACUUAUGUCACUGAAUCAAUAUUGUACUAUGAUGACAUAGGCAAAGUGAGACACAUGUUGAGUUGGUUAAGUAUCAAAUUUUGAGUUUCAUGAGGUUAAAUGAGAUGUAAGAAUGCACCAUCUCAGAUAUUUUGUGUAAUUGUAAUGGUGUGGCCCAUCACCUUACCAAGUUUUGUUUAUCUGGUGGUACUUUUAGUUUGGUUUGAGGAUCCUUUUCAUGUUAUAAGGGAUGUCUUCUUCCAAAACUUGCUUUAUACUUGAUCUUAGUUUAUAAAGAUAUCAUAUUUCUCUAAUAUGUAUAUAAAUAAGGUUAAGAUUCGAGAACACAUGCUUUCGAUAGACGGUUAGAUCGGUGAAAUACGUUAUGGAAUGGGCUCACAAAAACAUGUAUCAAAUUGUGUGUUAAAAAUGUGGGUCCUCAAAUCCUAACUCAUAUAUAUAUAUAUGCGUGUGUGUGUGUACAUCUAAACUACAUAUUAACAAAAUCCUCUUUGUCCAUAAAAAAAAAUAGUGAAAAACAACUUAGUCUUCUAUUACAAAAUAAAAUCAAUAGUAGUAAAGUAAUUUUGCUCAACCUAAAUUUUACAAUUUUUUUAAGGCUUAAUUACACUAACAAACCCCGAGGUUUGUUGAGUUUUCACAAACUCCCUCACGUUUGAGACAUUACACUAACACAUUUUCAGGUUUUAUUUCACUUUCACAUAACACCUUUGGUCAAAAUUCUGCUAAUAAACUGACAACUUUACCCUGAUAACUAAUUAG
rnacentral:lncRNA from 1 species